rnacentral:rRNA from 1 species
CACGUAGGGCGCAAGCGUUGUCCGAAAUUAUUGGGCGUAAAGAGCUCGUAGGCGGUCUGUCGCGUCUGCUGUGAAAACUCGGGGCUUAACCCCGGGCCUGCAGUGGGUACGGGCAGACUAGAGUGCGGUAGGGGAGACUGGAAUUCCCGGUGUAGCGGUGAAAUGUGUAGAGAUCGGGAGGAACACCGGUGGCGAAGGCGGGUCUCUGGGCAUCUCCUGACGCUGAGGCGCGAAAGCGUGGGGAGCAAACGGG